GCCUACUUUCCAAGUACCCUCCCAGGGAUAGCCGGAGAUCGAAGAAGCUGCUUUAUCUUACAGUCACCCAAGGGGGAGCGCCUUCUUCCUUCCCAGAGUGGAGUGGCAGUGGGUCCGGGAUUCUGGGAUAUGCACAGGGUCUGCGCCCUGCGCCCUGUCCGCGCUGAAGCUGAACUUGUCAUUGGUUUGCAACAGCAUGGUGAAGAAGUGUGGUGUGGAUGGACGGACGGGCCUCUCAGGCACAUGAAAUACUCAAAGCCCAGUAUUAACCAAACAUGUUUCUCUGUUUUGUCUUUGAUCUUUGUGCAGUGUGUUGGCUUUUUUCCUUUAAUGAUGUCACUUGUAUUUUAUUUUUGGUUUAUUUGUAGACUGUCUCCCUCCUUGGCCAUGGCUUUACUUUUAUGUCCACCCAAGGAGAGUUUCACCAGUUUAGGUUUAAGAAAUUACUGACAAGUUAACAAUAAUAAUUUCAAAAUUGAACAGUAAUAACUUAAACCGUGCCUUGGACAUAGUAGAUCUCCAACAGUUUUUCUUGAAUGUGGCUACCUAAUGUGGAACAAGAUUUUUCAUAAUUACAUGUUGCUAUUUUUAAUACCUUUUGGGAGGUUCUUUAGUCCCCCCCGCCCUUUCUCCCUACGUUGCACAAAGAGACUGGUCUACAAGGGGUCCUGUUAGUUUUCUGGUUUUGUGGGGUCCUGGAAUAUUGUUUGGGCUUAUUGAGAGUUAACAAGGAUGUAUUUUGUGAGUUUCUCCAAAGUCUUAUUUAGAGUAAUAGUAUUUCAAAGCAAGAAGUGUUUUAGAGAGAACAUCAUUCUGCCUCUUGUUUAACAGGUGAGGAAACUGAGGAAAAACCAGCUUACCUGGCUAAUCAACCACAAGUACAGAUAGUUCCACAAUGACUCAAUGGAUAUUACUUCAACUUUGUUCCCUCAAGAAACUUUUGUGAUUAAGCUUGUUGAUUUGUGGCUUGAUGGUUUACAGGAAUGGUCAUUUUUAAUAUCUAGGACCCUGCUUGCUUGCUUGCUUGCUUGCUUACUAGACUGGCUGCAUAGUCAGUCUUCCACGUGUAAACAACAGUGUGUGCUUUAGUGGAUAAGAGAUGUUGAGUGCUGAGAUUUCAAGGCUCAGCACUGAGUAGACCUAGAGCAUUUUUAUUUAUACUAAAUUAAUGCCAUGGUAACAUAAGUUAGACAGCAAGUGAAUAUGGCAUCAAAUGUACAAAGUUGAGUAUCUCUUUACUAGUCAAUGUAUAAGGAAUUUAUUUACCCAAGCAAUUAUCUUAAAAACAGCAUUACAAGUGGUAUGCGAAACAUUUCCAGAAUUUAUUUCCACAUCUGCUCUUUCAGUGGCAUCAUCCAUUCCUGAGCUCAAGAAAAGGCCUCUGCCAACCGCCAGUAAUCCUGCUUUUUUAGUAAUCCUACUAUUUUUUUUUUAACUUUAAGUUCUGGGAUACAUGUGCAGAACAUGCAGGUUUGUUACAUAGGUAUACAUGUGCCUAUGUAUACCUAUGUAACAUGGUGGUUACAGUAAACAUGGUGGUUUACUGCAUCUAUCAACCCGUCAUCUAGGUUUUAAGCCCUGCAUUCAUUAGAUAUUUGUCCUAAUGCUCUCCCUCCCCUUUCCCCCACGCCCCGACAGGCCCCAGUAUGUGAUAUUACCCUCCCUGUGUCCAUGUGUUCUCAUCGUUCAACUCCCACUUAUAAGUGAGAAUAUGCAGAGUUUGGUUUUCUGUUGUGUUACUUUGCUUAGAAUGAUGGCUCCCAGCUUCAUCCAUGUCCCUGCAAAUGACAUGAACUCAUUCUUUUUUAUGGCUGCAUAGUAUUCCAUGGUGUAUAUGUGCCACAUUGUCUUUAUCCAGUCUAUCAUCGAUGGCAUUUGGGUUGGUUCCAAGUCUUUGCUAUUGUAAAUAGCACUGCAAUAAACAUACAUGUGCAUGUGUCUUUAUAGUAGAAUGAUUUAUAAUCCUUUGGGUAUAUACCCAGUAAUGGGAUUGCUGGGUCAAAUGGUAUUUUGGUUCUAGAUCCUUGAGGAAUCGCCACAGUGUCUUCCACAAUGGUUGAACUAAUUUACACUCCCACCAACAGUGUAAAAGCAUUCCUAUUUCUCCAUAGCCUUGGCAGAAUCUGUUGUUUCCUGACUUUUUAAUAAUCACCAUUCUCACUGGCGUGAGGUGGUAUCUCACUGUGGUUUUGAUUUGCAUUUCUCUAAUGACCAAUGAUGAUGAACUUUUUUUCAUAUGUUUAUUGGCUGCAUAAAUGUCUUCUUUUGAGAAGUGUCUGUUCAUAUCCUUUGCCCACUUUUUGAUGGGGUUGUUUGUUUUUUUCUUGUAAAUUUGUCUAAGUUCCUUGUAGAUUCUGGACAUUAGACCUUUGUCGGAUGGGUAGAUUGCAAAACUUUCUCCCAUUCUGUAGGUUGCCUGUUCACUCUGAUGAUAGUUUCUUUUGCUGUGCAGAAGCUCUUUAGUUGGAUUAGAUCCCAUUUGUCAAUUUUGGCUUUUGUUGCAAUUGCUUUUGGUGUUUUAGUCAUGAAGUCUUUGCCCAUGCCUAUGUCCUGAAUGGUAUUGCCUAGAUUUUCUUCUAGGGUUUUUAUGGUUUGGGGUUUUACAUUUAAGUCUUUAAUCCAUUUUCAAUAAUCCUACUUUUUAAAUCCAAACGUUCCAGAUACUGGUCCCUGCUUCACCUCCCUAUCCUGACCCCAGACUAGCAGCAGGUCAUUAUCUAAUUGCCUAAGUAAUAGUAUGUCUGAAAUUUAUCUAGUGUUCAUAACUUAAAAAUAAAAUACUUUCACAGGCCAGGCAUGGUGGCUUACACCUAUAAUCAUAGUGCUUUUAGAGGCUGAGGCAGGAGGACCACUUGAGCCCCAGGAGUUUGUGACCAGCCUGGACAACAUAGUGAGACCCUCAUCUCUACAAAAAAAUAGAAAAAAAUUAACUGGGCCUGGUUGCAAACACCUGUAGUCCCAGCUACUCAGGAGGCUGAGGCAGGAGAAUCACUUGAGUCCAGGAGUUUGAGACUGCAGUGAACCAUAAUUGCACCACUACAUUCCAGCCUGGGCAACAGCAUGAGACCCUGUCUCAAAAAAAAGAAAAGAAAGAAAGAAAAUACUUUCACAACCUGAACAAUAAUUCUGUGAGAUAAGUAGAACCAGUAUUUUAAAAUCAUCAUUUAGAGAAUUUAAAAAAAAAAUUAAGCAUAGAAUUGUAUUAAGCAACCUACCUAAACAUGGCUACUUAGGAGAUUGAGAUUAAAACUCAAGUCCCCUAAUUUUUAAUUUCAUUAAUAGAUCUGGAUUCCUGAAGAGUGUUUUUCUUUGGUGUUCUGACAUUUGUAGAACCAAAAAUAAUAUUUCAUGGUUUUUGCAAAUUAUUAUCAUUUAAGAAAAAUAUCCCAAAAAAUAUUGAAGAAAAAACAAAACAAAAAAGUUGGAAACCAAUUUGCAUUGCUGGGAGGCAGUUAAUCCUACUUGAACUUACACCAGUGGUAUCUCCCCAGAGCCAACCCAGAUUUUAAUGUGAAGAUAAAUCCUUGGCUGAUGAAGUCUUAGUUAACACUGUAGUUUGCAAACAGUCCUUUAUGUGUGAACUACAAGAAAGCUCUCACACCCCUGCCUGCCUUCUCCCCUCCUCUUUCCUCCAGGUUUCAAGCUCCCAAAGGUGAUCUACAUAUUUACUAUCAUUGGAAUUCAUAACAUCAAGAAUCAGACCCAAGUCCCCGGAGAAGUGGGAACUAAAAAUUGGGUAACUAUCGAGGAGAAGAAAUAAUAGUUUUCCUAUGUCUAAAAACAAAUGCUGGCACAAAUCUGAGGUUUCUAAAAGACAGAAAGAGGCCUUUGGUUCUGAAUACACAUUGCCAGUAAUAAAGAGAAGUAUACAUUACCAAUAGUCAAUAAUAAGGGGAGAUGAGGGUUUGGAAUCUUGGCUGUCACAAAACUGAGGUCCGGGUAUGGGUCCAGUUUUCUUCUUCAUUCACACACACACACACACACACACACACACACACACACACACACGAGGUUCCCUCUUCACAAAUGCUGUUAACUAUUUUCUUUCCUUUUAAGGCAGGGCCUUGCUCUGUCGCCCAGGCUGGAGUGCAGUGGCAUGAUCUUGGCUCACUGCAACCUCCACCUCCCAGGCUCAAGCAAUUCUCCCACCUCAACCUCCCAAGUAGCUGGGACUACAGGUGUGCGCCACCAUGCCUGGCUAAUUUUGCAUUUUUUGUAGAGACAGGGUUGCCCCAUGUUGCCCAGGCUGGCCUCAAGCUCCUGGGCUCAAGUGAUCCACCUGCAUCGACUUCCCAAAAUGCUGGGAUUACAGGAGUGAGCCACCGAGCCUGGCCAGCUAUUUUCUUAUAGCCAGUCCCUUCUAGACUAUGUAUGCCCCACCUCUAAGCAGCUAAUCCCCAAAACAGUAAUGCAAUUUUUAAACUGGUUCGCCAGCUCCUCCCUUUCAAUAUCCUCUCUCCCUUUAGACACGUUUAUGCAGCACUCUCCUGAUUAUAACACUGACUAUGCCCAGUCUAUCAUAAGGAAGAAUUCAGACAUUUCCCAAGAUUCUGCCAUCUGUCUUCCUCUCACCUCACUCCCUAAAUCCCUGGUGAUCUACCCACUUCUGUGAUUUCAGCUGUCACUUGGAUAAUGUUGACUUUGAGAAACUCAUCUCCAGCCUUAUCCACAGUACUAGGGUCCUAUCAGGAGUUUUUAAAUGUUGAACACCUCCAACAAAAUAUGCUUCCUGGACUUCCAACUCAAUGCAUGGAAAGUGACAUCUUCAUGAUCUCCUUACCCCUUGCCCAACCACCCUUGCCUUCUUGAAUUGCCUUUUUAUGUUAGUAAAACUAGUGGGUUCUGUCUCAAACUUGCUUAUACAUGGAGUUACUUUUGAGUCCUCUCCUCCAUCCUAGCUUGCAUAAAUCCAACUCAUGCUUUGAAUUCGUAUUGACACUGUCCUAGCUCAGACCUAGUUAGCUUUCACGAGGAUUAUUGCAUUAGCUUGUUAGCCGUCCUCCUUCCCCUGCCACCUUUCCACCUCCAAUACUUUCUACUUUCUGUUGUAGGUGAAUUAUUCUACAGCACAGUUCAGACCAAAUCACAUCCAAGCUCAAAAAAACAGCUCCUUGUUGCCUACUAAGUAAAAUAUAUGCUUUACAGAGCUUAAAAGGGCCUUCCAAAUGUAAUCCCAAACCACUGUUGCUGCCUCGCUCAUUGCAUGUGCUCUGCCAACCCAAUAGACUCUCUGUUCUACAAAUACAUCCAGCACUUUCCUUGCCCCUUGCCUCGGCUUAAUUGUUUCUUCCACCUGGAAUGGGACUUUUCAAGGGUCCCCAUCAAAUACCACUGUCCUCCUCCAUCAAGUCAUUCCCUAUUCUCCAAGCUGGCAAUUAGCCUCCUCUGAGUUCCUAUAGCAUUUGUUUCUGUCUGUCUUCUGGAACCAAUCAUAGUACAUAUUAUGGAAUUAUCCUUUGUAUAACUCUUUUUUUUUUGAGACGGAGUCUGGCUCUGUCUCCCAGGCUGGAGUGCAGUGGCACGAUCUUGGCUCACUGGAAGCUCCGCCUCCCGGGUCCACGCCAUUCUCCUGCCUUAGCCUCCUGAGUAGCUGGGACUACAGGCGCCCGCCGCCACACCCGGCUAAUUUUUUUUUUUUUUUUUUUGUAUUUUUAGUAGAGACAGGGUUUCAUUGUGUUAGCCAGGAUGGUCUCGAUCUCCUGACCUCGUGAUCCACCCUCCUCGGCCUCCCAAAGUGCUGGGAUUACGGGCGUGAGCCACUGCGCCUAGCCUGUAUAACUCUUAAUAUCUGCUAUCAGGUUAUAAGCACCUUGAGACAGAAAACUUGUUUCUCCCCGGCAAUGUCUUUCAUAAAUUAACCCCUCAAUGAAACCAGAAGCCAAGAAACAAGAAAUUAUACUAAGGGUUUCUUCAUAGAUGUUUGGGGCUGCAAAAGAUACUAAAAUAUCCGUUUAAUAAGUCCAAUCAUGCAACUCUCAUUUUCUCUCCUGCCCCUGCCCAUUUUAAAAAUAAACAUUCCUAGGCCCAGGAAAAUGACAUGACUGUGCUCACAAAACUAAUGACAGAGGAAAGAUUAGAAUUCAGAUCUCCUGAAUCUCAAUUCAUUAGCCCUAUCAAAAGAUUCAUUCCUUUCCAUCCUUUUCUGUCCUUUAAAUGGAUAUUUUUCUUGUUAAUAAAGGUUUUCUCAGCAAAGUAAUUUUAUUCUUUUACAUAUUAUUUAAGCUUAAAGCAUUCGUGCCAUAUUCCUGGCCCCACAUAUAAUUUUAGCAAAAUUAUACUUAUUUUUUUUUAACCAAAGGACCAAACAGAGACAUCAGAGAAACAUCUGGUCUGAUUCAUCAGGGUAGCAGCAACAUUGCUAUUUAUACACGAGCACAGCCCUAUCUUUGUAGCUCUCAGCUGUUCCUCAUUGCUCAGUAUGUUCCCCUUUUCAACCUUGUCUGUCCCUCGUCACGAUAGCAUCCUGCAUCCUGAGUCUUAAGCAGAAUCUAAUGCAAUCAUAGAAAAUAUAUUUCCUACUCCCUAGAAGGGGUCUGUCUUUAAAAGGAAAUAUUUCUCUACUCUCUCAAUCUCUUCAUUGAGGAGUAUAGGACAGCAAGCCUCAAGUGGUUGGGUGGCUGCCAUUCAUUCCACAGCAUUCUCGGUAGAAAGAAGUUGGAUAGAAACCAAAGCUGUGGCAUAAGUCAAGUUUGGAAGCAGGUCAGGUAGAAAGGAAGUGAGCAUUCUAAAUGGGGAAACUGAGGUUAAUGAGGAGAAUUUAAGGAGCACUGAUUCUCCUCAUAGCAGUUAGAAACUUCAUGAUCUUAGGGAGUCAUCAGGACCAAAGAAAGGCUUAGCAAUCUUCUUGGGUUUUGUGAGUACCCUUUUAUAUCUGGCCCGUGUCCUCUAAGA
rnacentral:lncRNA from 1 species